rnacentral:rRNA from 1 species
UACAGAGACUGCAAGCGUUAUUCGGAUUCACUGGGCGUAAAGGGUGCGCAGGCGGCCAAGUGUGUCAGGUGUGAAAUCCCGAGCUUAACCUCGGAACUGCGCCUGAAACUACUUGGCUAGAGUACUGGAGAGGGUAACGGAAUUCACGGUGUAGCAGUGAAAUGCGUAGAUAUCGUGAGGAACACCGGUGGCGAAGGCGGAUCUCUGGGCCUUACCUGACGCUGAGGCGCGAAAGCUAGGGGAGCAAACAGG